GACGAAUGCUGGCGGCGUGCUUAACACAUGCUAGGCGAACGGAAAGGCCCUGCUUGCAGCGUACUCGAGUGGCUAACGGGUUAGUAACACGUGGGUGAUCUGCCCUGCACUUCGGGAUAAGCCUGGGUAACUGGGUCUAAUCCCGGACAUGAGCCAUUUUUAGUUUGAUGGUUGGAAAGUUUUUUCGUUGUAGGAUGAGCUCGCGGCCUAUCACCUUGUUGGUGGGGUAAUGGCCUACCAAUGCGGCGACGGGUAGCCGCCCUGAGAGGGUCGACGUCCAUAGUGGGACUGAGAUGCGGCCCAGACUCCGACGCGAGGCAGCAGUGGAGAAGAUUGCACAACGGGCGCAAGACUGAUGCAGCGACGCCGCGUGGGGGAUGACGGCCUUCGGGUUGUAAGCGCCUUUCGCCAGGGACGAAGCUUUUUGUGACGGUACCUAGAUAAGAAGCACCGGCUACCUACGUG
rnacentral:rRNA from 1 species